rnacentral:lncRNA from 1 species
UUGUAGCAGCUUUCUUCAAUCCAAAAGAAAUUCACUCUAUUAUGUAAAUGUUCUUCCCUUAUGAAAAAAAAGAGAAAAAAAAAUAAGAAGAAUCGAGGGAAGGGUGAUGAAAAGAAAGAAAGUAAGUGAGCUAAUUGUUUAAUUGCUUUUGGGAGUUCACAUUUUGACUUGAUUCUUAUUUCCCACCUUGGACUACUGUUGAUUGUUU